rnacentral:rRNA from 1 species
GGGGCGGAACCUACGGUGGCGAGUGGCGAACGGGUGAGUAAUGCAUCGGAACGUGCCCAUCGAUGGGGGAUAACUGCGCGAAAGCGUUGCUAAUACCGCAUACGACCUACGGGUGAAAGCAGGGGACCACAAGGCCUUGCGUCGAUGGAGCGGCCGAUGCCGGAUUAGCUAGUUGGUGAGGUAAAGGCUCACCAAGGCGACGAUCCGUAGCUGGUCUGAGAGGACGACCCAGCCACACUGGGACUGAGACACGGCCCAGACUCCUACGGGAGGCAGCAGUGGGGAAUCUUGGACAAUGGGCGAAAGCCUGAUCCAGCAAUGCCGCGUGUGGGAAGAAGGCCUUCGGGUUGUAAACCACUUUUGGCGGGAAAGAAAUGGUCUGUGCUAAUACCACGGAUUGAUGACGGUACCCGCAGAAUAAGCACCGGCUAACUACGUG